rnacentral:rRNA from 1 species
UACGAAGGGUGCAAACGUUGCUCGGAAUCAUUGGGCGUAAAGCGCACGUAGGCGGCUUCGCAAGUCGGAUGUGAAAUCCCAUGGCUCAACCAUGGACGUGCAUCCGAAACUGCGAGGCUUGAGUACUGAAGAGGAUCGCGGAAUUCCCGGUGUAGAGGUGAAAUUCGUAGAUAUCGGGAGGAACACCAGUGGCGAAGGCGGCGAUCUGGGCAGAUUCUGACGCUGAGGUGCGAAAGCGUGGGGAGCAAACAGG